UGGGUGUUGGGACCGCUUAGUCGCGAGACCCCAGCAAACCUCUUGGCGUCUCUGAGCCUCAGCUUUUGCUUCUGUAGAAUAGGGUGUACUCAUCGUACAUUUCAUGGGAAUACCUAACGCAGUCAUUUGGAUGGUCCUGUGAGGUAGAAAACAUUGUCCAACGUUCUACGCGAGGAAAUGUGGCUGGGCCACAGGACUGGACUCCCCAGUCCCGCUUUUGCCUGAAGACUUCGAGGGACGCAGUUGGAGCGCAAGGCUCCUGCUUGGCGGCAACAGCACCUGGGCAGACCAUGCCAUUUCCCCUCCUGAACUCGGGUGCUUUGAAAGAAGUAUAGGGGGCCGGUCGCGGUGGCUCCCGCCUGUAAUCCCAGCACUUUGGGAGGCCGAGAUGGCCGGAUCACCUGAGGCUAGAAGUUCAAGACCAGCCUGGCCAACAUGGUGAAACCCCGUCUCUACUAAAAAUACAAAAAUUAGUUGGAUGUGGUGGCGUGUGCCUGUAAUCUCAGCUACUUGGGAGGCUGAAGCUGGAGAACUGCAUCAAUCCAGGAGGUGGGGCUGCAGUGAGCUGAGAUCCUGCCACUGCACUCCAGCCUGGGUGACAGCAAGACUCCGUCUCAAAAAGAAAAAAGAAACAAAUAUGGGGACGAACAGUGGGAAUGCAGAGGAGAGGGUUCCCAUCUGAGGAGGCUGGAAGAAAAGAAGGCUGGAAAAGAACCAUGAGAAACACAUGUCUGUCGUUUAAGCUAUACAGCCUAUGGUAUUUUGUCAUGGCAGUCUGAGCCAAGAGAGGGAGCAAUUUAAUUAGAUGUGUUAUGCUCUUCUAUCUAGGUCCCAUAUAGAUUGCCAACACUGUUAGUGCUUUCUCCUUUUGUGUUAAAAAGGAAAGAUAGAGGAAGGGAGGGAAGAAGGAAGGAUGGAGAAGAGAACAGAAAAGUAAAAUGAAAAUGUCUUCUAACCAUAUUGAAAAGCUAUCCAGGGCCGGGCACGGUGGCUCACGCCUGUAAUCCCAGCACUGUGGGAGG
rnacentral:lncRNA from 1 species